rnacentral:rRNA from 1 species
AGAGUUUGAUCCUGGCUCAGGACGAACGCUGGCGGCGUGCUUAACACAUGCAAGUCGAACGGUAAGGCCCUUCGGGGUACACGAGUGGCGAACGGGUGAGUAACACGUGGGUAAUCUGCCCUGCACAUCGGGAUAAGCCUGGGAAACUGGGUCUAAUACCGAAUAGGACCACAGGACACAUGUCCUGUGGUGGAAAGCUUUUGCGGUGUGGGAUGGGCCCGCGGCCUAUCAGCUUGUUGGUGGGGUGAUGGCCUACCAAGGCGACGACGGGUAGCCGGCCUGAGAGGGUGUCCGGCCACACUGGGACUGAGAUACGGCCCAGACUCCUACGGGAGGCAGCAGUGGGGAAUAUUGCACAAUGGGCGAAAGCCUGAUGCAGCGACGCCGCGUGGGGGAUGACGGCCUUCGGGUUGUAAACCUCUUUCACCAUCGACGAAGGUCCGGGUUUUCUCGGGCUGACGGUAGGUGGAGAAGAAGCACCGGCCAACUACGUGCCAGCAGCCGCGGUAAUACGUAGGGUGCGAGCGUUGUCCGGAAUUACUGGGCGUAAAGAGCUCGUAGGUGGUUUGUCGCGUUGUUCGUGAAAUCUCACGGCUUAACUGUGAGCGUGCGGGCGAUACGGGCAGACUUGAGUACUGCAGGGGAGACUGGAAUUCCUGGUGUAGCGGUGGAAUGCGCAGAUAUCAGGAGGAACACCGGUGGCGAAGGCGAGUCUCUGGGCAGUAACUGAUGCUGAGGAGCGAAAGCGUGGGGAGCGAACAGGAUUAGAUACCCUGGUAGUCC